rnacentral:rRNA from 1 species
CAAUAGCGUAUAUUUAAGUUGUUGCAGUUAAAAAGCUCGUAGUUGGAUUUCGGAUGGGACUUGCCGGUCCGUCGUUUCGAUGUGCACUGGCCAGUCCUAUCUUGUUGUCGGGGACUAGCUCCUGGGCUUCACUGUCCGGGACUAGGAGCUGACGAGGAUACUUUGAGUAAAUUAGAGUGUUCAAAGCAAGCCUACGCUCUGAAUACAUUAGCAUGGAAUAACACGAUAGGACUCUGGCUUAUCUUGUUGGUCUGUGAGACCAGAGUAAUGAUUAAGAGGGACAGUCGGGGGCAUUCGUAUUUCAUUGUCAGAGGUGAAAUUCUUGGAUUUAUGAAAGACGAACUUCUGCGAAAGCAUUUGUCAAGGAUGUUUUCAUUAA